UGCCGAAACCUCCUGGAAGGAGGUCGUCGUGGGGUGGUGCCCACGGCCUGACGAAGGCAGCCCGCU
rnacentral:hammerhead_ribozyme from 1 species